CUGUAAUACUGGUCUCUGUUGCAGAGAUUACAGAGAUGAAAUCCAAGAGGAGCCAUCGCAGAUACCACCAGCACUAAUAGAUGCCACAUAAAAAAUUGAGGAAACAGUAGAGGUGCCACCAGCGAAACGCCCGAGGACAUCGAGGAAUCGCAAACAAAGUGAAGAUUCGAGCCAUGCAGGUGAGAGCGCAAGCCAUGAGGCUGUUGCGCAAGCCUGUAUGGAGCAUCUAGCGCAACUAAGAGAACACAAAACCGCAAACAAAAGAGAUGCCAUUUCGUAUUUUGCACUUAGAACUGAUGCGCGCCUGAGGGUGCUGCCAAUUCAUGUCGCGCAAGACCUUAUGCACCUGAUGGAGCCCAUGAUGUAUCAGGUGGAAGUGGAAAAUAGGAACGACAGCAAUUAAACCUCAAUCGCUAUAACAUAUUCUAGUCAUCAUCCUCACAAGCCUAUUUUCAUGUACACUGGACUGAAGUAUGAAGGCCUAUCCAUGCGAUCUCCAACUACCCGUCUCGCUCUAGCCGUUUCGAAUUUCCACCUGCAAAUUUCCUAAUUCCACCAUCCCACAUAAUUUUAUACCGCCCGCGACUACACUUCCCCUUUGUUGGCACCCAUUCUUUAACACUAACACCAGUUAUGUAACGCACGACCUACAUGCUGUAAUAAUACAUACGGACUCAGCAGUCACCCUGUAUUUUUUUUCUCUUUGAACUUUGAAGAAAACAAGUUCAACCCAACUAACUGCUG